UACGAAGGGGGCUAGCGUUGCUCGGAAUUACGGGGCGUAAAGCGCACGUAGGCGGCUUUCUAAGUCGGGGGUGAAAUCCUGGAGCUCAACUCCAGAACUGCCUUCGAUACUGGAGAGCUUGAGUCCGGGAGAGGUGAGUGGAACUGCGAGUGUAGAGGUGAAAUUCGUAGAUAUUCGCAAGAACACCAGUGGCGAAGGCGGCUCACUGGCCCGGUACUGACGCUGAGGUGCGAAAGCGUGGGGAGCAAACAGG
rnacentral:rRNA from 1 species